GCACUGCUGACGAGUCCCAAACAGGACGAAACACAGCUGUCCAGCGC
rnacentral:hammerhead_ribozyme from 1 species